UACGUAGGGACCAAGCGUUGUUCGGAUUUACUGGGCGUAAAGGGCGCGUAGGCGGCGUGGUAAGUCAGUUGUGAAAUCUCCGAGCUUAACUCGGAACGGCCAACUGAUACUGCUGUGCUAGAGUGCAGAAGGGGCAAUCAGAAUUCUUGGUGUAGCGGUGGAGAUGCGUAGAUAUCAAGAGGAAUACCAGAGGUGAAGACGGGUUGCUAGGCUGACACUGACGCUGAGGCGCGAAAGCCAGGGGAGCAAACGGG
rnacentral:rRNA from 1 species